UUUCACACACAUUUCGGAUUGUAUUUAAAUCGUGCAAAUGUUAUGACAAAUUUUAAGCAAAUUGCUGCCAAAUUAUGCCACAAAUAUCUCUCUUUCAACAUUUUCAUCCGCACACACCAAAUUUAAACUGUGAAAAUCCAAGGCAGCUUCAAAACAAAAACAACACAAUAAAAAACAUAAAAGAUACGAAAAUAAAACCAGAAACAACAACAAGCAGAGAAAUACCAAAACUAAUCUACGCUAAUAAAUUUGAAACAAAACACAAAGAAUUUUCCGCGCGAAAAACUUCAGACUAAAAUAAGUUGAUUUUCUAUAGCAUAUAAUAAAAGAAAUGAAAAAGCAUUUUGUGAGUUGGAAAAAUCAAGCAAGAACUGAUUCUGAUUAUGAAAUGAUCCCAACCAAAAAAAUAAAAUUAAAUACAUGCCGCAUUUUGAUGAGGACAGCUUCCUGGUGUCCCACGUAGAAAAUUCCAGUUUACGAUCAAAUGUAUUUUUACUCUUGAUGUUUUGAGCUUGGAUAACAUCGCAACAGGAAGUAAAUGGCCAAAAAGUCCUCGUUAAAUCCAUCUCUGGUUCAGCUGCAUCGCUAGGGAAGGAGAUUCAAUUUGACACACCAACAGCGAGGGAGAGAGAGACAUGCAAAUUGAAUGAGACAGCUUGUGAAUAAAUAUGGAUAUGCGACGGAUGGCGUUAAUUGCCAACUCACGCAAAACAAGUUGCAAGAUUUCAAAGCAAAAUCAUUUAACAAAUUGAAUUUGCAUUUGAAUUGCAUGCUGUAAAACACUCGCAUGUAUUUUGCUGCAUUGGGGUGACUCAAGAGACAGGAAAAGCAGCAUUGAAAUGAAAACAAAAUAAUAAACAAUUUAUUUACAUUUUGCAUUCUUAAUGCGAGGCUGAUUAAUGUGUUAAGUCUCAAAUCAAUUAUUAUUGGAUAUUGAUUAAUCCGCUCCAUGUGCAAGGUGCCACCCUAUGCCCGGAUGGGGAGUGUCAGAGAGGAGAGUGGGAGGGGGGCUUGUAGUCACAUUGGCACGCAGUCGAAAAUGGGCGAGUGCCGUGGCAAUUGAAAUGCUUUUCAGUCAGCUGCGAGUAAAAGCAAAUCGAACUGCACUCAAAUGUUUUUAUAAUGAGUUAAUAAGCGCACACCUGUUGCAGUCGACGUCGACGUUGACGCUGACUGCGAUGCUGACAGCGACUGUGACGGCGACUGCGAGUGCAAACUGGCUUGAGGAGAAUGGCGAGUAAUUAAGAGAUUUACUUGGCCCCGAGAAUGAACCGAGUGUGGAGUCCAAGUGCAGUCAACGCGUCGCCUCACACAUAAAUCGAAGUCUUUGUUUUGCUUUCUGUUUUCUGUUGUGCUGCAAUUUUAAUUGCUAAUCGCAAACGAUUUGUAAUUCUGCGCCAAGUCAAUUUACAAAAGGAGCUGAACAGCAGCAGCAGUUGGUCAAAGUCAUUGCGGCGCCAGCUUUAGCUUUAGCUUUAUAUUUAAAUUCAUUUCUCGUUGGCAACUGGAGAAGCGCCAAGCGCGCAAACUGAUGAAUUGUUAUCUCCCAUCUGUAUCUGCAUCUCAAUCUCAACCCUAUGAAUAAUGCAGGGGGCGAUGCUGACAAUCGUAACAGUUUGAUUGAUUAACUUCUGCAUAACGAAUGUAAUAAAAAUCUAAAUUAGCUUAAACUACAAGAAUUCUUAGAAAAUGUUGUGGCUUUCAACGUCUGUUGCGAACCAACCAACAAAAAAAAAAAAAAAAAAUAAA